rnacentral:misc_RNA from 1 species
UCGAGUUUUCAACUCCCAAACCCCAUGUGAACAUUACCUUUCUGUUGCUUCGGCGGGAUUGCCCCGGGGGCGCGGCCGCAAGGCCCCGAGCCCGGACCCAGGCGCCCGCCGAGGGACCCGAAACUCUUGUUUUUUUACAAUGGUAUUAUCUGAGUGGCUUAAAAAGCAAUGAAUCA